GUCUACGGCCAUGCCACCCUGAAAAACCCAAUCCUGUCUGACCUCAGAAGAUAAGCAGGAUCCGAGCCGGGUUAGAACUUGAAUGAGAGACUACCUAAGAAGACCAGGUGCUGUAGGUG
ensembl:rRNA 5S_rRNA 5S ribosomal RNA